GUGGCGAACGGGUGAGUAACACGUAGUAACCUGCCCUUGACUCUGGGAUAAGCACUGGAAACGGUGUCUAAUACCGGAUACGAGCUUCAGCCGCAUNGCUAGUGAGCUGGAAAGAACUUCGGUCAAGGAUGGACUCGCGGCCUAUCAGCUAUUGGUGAGUGUAAUGGCCCACCAAUGGCGACGACGUGGUAGCCUGGCCUGAGAGGGUGACCUGGCCACACUGGGACUGAGACACGGCCCAGACUCCUACGUGGAGUGCAGCAGUGGGGAAUAUUUGCACAAUGGUGCUGCAAGCCUGAUGCAGCAACGCCUGCGUGAGUGGACGACGUGCACUUCGGUGUUUGUAAACCUCUUUUAGUAGUGUGAAGAAUGCGAAAGUGACGGUACCUGCAGAAAAAGCACCUGNGCUAACUACGUGCCAGCAGCCGCGUGUAAUACGUAGGGUGCAAGCGUUAUCCUGGAAUUAUUUGGUGCUGUAAAGAGCUCGUAGGCGGUCUGUACGCGUCUGCUGUGAAAACUGGGAGNGCUCAANCCCCAGCCUGCAGGUGGGUACGGGCAGACCAGUGCGGUAGGGNGANAUCUUGGAAUACCUGGUGUACGGUGGGAAUGCGCAGGAUAUCAGGAGGAAACACAGAUGGCGAAUGCAGAAUACUCUGGGCCGUAAC
rnacentral:rRNA from 1 species